AUAAAAUAAAAGGAUUAAAAUAUUUCUAAUCAUGAUUAAUCUCAAUUUAUGAUAUUUCCUGAAAACUUGCAAUUAUUAUAAAAUCAUUUUAAAACCCUGUGUACUUAAGUCAAUAUGGAAUAUGUGAUGGUAGAGUAUGAGUUUCUUAUUCUUGAUAUCAUUGUUGCUUGGAGAAUUUAUUUCAAAAUAUUCAAAAUUAUAGCUACCAUCCUCAGUGUUUUAUAUGCCUGAUAAGACUGAAAAUAUUAAUUAUGAUUAUAAAAGUUAUCGCUCUGUAUUGAGUUUGUUCAAAAUGAGUUAGACCCUUGUUGAGAGAUUUAUCAUGCUCCCAAGAUUAAGACAUUAUUUCAGUAAGAUUCACUCUUCCGAAGUAUUAUUGCAUUAGAGGCAUGGGCUAUGCAAAAAUAGAGAUAUUUCGAGGAAAUAAAAAGGAGCAAGUGCUCGAUAACCUCGCAGAAAAAAUGGACAAGUGUCCGGCAGUAGAAUUAGGGGUACCUCGGUAUCCACUUAAAAAAAAGAGAAAAGAGAAAAAUGAUAGCCCAUGGUCCCUCUAAUAAGCAAUAUGCCAGCAAGAGUUGACAAAGUUUUUAAUUUCCAAAGUCUUUGAUCUAAGAGUAUGACAUUCCCCUCCUCGGAUCCCGUUUUGAUCAAGCAAUAAAUGCAAAGUAAGUAUGCUUGAGAAUUUUUUGCAAAAUAAAACAGCCUCAG
rnacentral:lncRNA from 1 species